GUGAACUUAAGCCCCAGUAAACGGCGGCCGUAACUAUAACGGUCCUAAGGUAGCGAAAUUCCUUGUCGGGUAAGUUCCGACCCGCACGAAAGGCGUAACGAUUUGGGCACUGUCUCAACAACAGACUCGGUGAAAUUGUAAUUCCGGUGAAGAUGCCGGAUACCUGCGACAGGACGGAAAGACCCCAUGGAGCUUUACUGUAGCUUGACAUUGGGUCUUGGUACUACAUGUACAGGAUAGGUGGGAGGCUUUGAAACCAGGACGCCAGUUUUGGCGGAGCCAUCCUUGGGAUACCACCCUUGUAGUACUGGGACUCUAACCAUAGGCCAUGAAUCUGGUCUUGGGACACUGUCAGGUGGGCAGUUUGACUGGGGCGGUCGCCUCCCAAAAGGUAACGGAGGCGCUCAAAGGUUCUCUCAGUACGGUCGGAAAUCGUACGUAGAGUGUAAAGGCAAAAGAGAGCUUGAUUGCAAGACAUACAGGUCGAGCAAGGAUGAAAAUCGGACUUAGUGAUCCGGUGGUUCUGCGUGGAAGGGCCAUCGCUCAACGGAUAAAAGCUACCCUGGGGAUAACAGGCUUAUCUCCCCCAAGAGUCCACAUCGACGGGGAGGUUUGGCACCUCGAUGUCGGCUCAUCACAUCCUGGGGCUGUAGUAGGUCCCAAGGGUUGGGCUGUUCGCCCAUUAAAGUGGUACGCGAGCUGGGUUCAGAACGUCGUGAGACAGUUCGGUCCCUAUCCGUCGCAGGCGUAGGAAAUUUGAGAAGACCUGUCCUUAGUACGAGAGGACCGGGAUGGACG
rnacentral:rRNA from 1 species